CACUGAUGCUUUCUAAAAAUGCAGGGUUUAUACAGGUUUUAGAGUUAGACCAGUGAAUUUAUUGAAAUUUGUAUAAAUUUUUGUAAUGCAAAAUUAUUCUGGUUGUUGGAGAACUUAACAAUUUAGCACAAGGUAUGCCUAUCCUAAAAAAGCUUUGGCAAUGUUAUGGUAAAUUGUAAGCUGAUGUAUGUUGAAAGUUUGGUUGCAAAUUCAGAAGCUAGCAGAAGAUCUUUUUAAUAUACUAGUAUGUUAUUUUGGUGCAAGAAGUGUUUUGAGCCGGCUUCUAGGACAGCCUCAUUAUUCUUGAGAUUAAUAUUUGUUGUAAAGAUGAAUUUGUGAAACCAAUACUUCAUGUUUUACUGAGUAUUUCAAAGAUGUUUUUGAGAAGAGUUUUUUUUUUUACACAUUUAUUUAUUUAUACCCUUGAGAUAGUUUAUCAAUAUUCAAAAAAUGUAUUCAUUAUUUUAGUAAAAUUUUGUAUUUUUUGUGAUUUUUUUUUUUUAAUAUUAGUACAUAAUAAGAAAAUCUUACAAAAAAAAUUAAAAAAAAAAAAGAUGGCAUUUGAAUUGUUGGUGAUAAACUGUAUAUGUAUAGGAAACAUAAAAUAAUAUUUUUUAAAUACUAGUGUCAAUACAGUCCUGUGAAACUUACCAAUAUACAUGAUAUACAAAUUAUUAUAAUCAUUUAGGAUAUGGUAAAUACAUAGCUAACAGAGAUGACUUACCGUAUUCUUCAUAAGUCAAAAGAAAUGAUGAGGGUGUAUUUUUUUUUUCAUUUAUACAUUUUUGGACUGUUUAAAGCACGAAUCUCUUCUGUUAUUAUUUGCUAUAUCUCCUUGUUUUGUUUAUUUGGUAAUAAAUUCUCAAAAAAA
rnacentral:misc_RNA from 1 species